AUUGAACGCUGGCGGCAGGCUUAACACAUGCGAGUCGAGCGGGGUGAUGGUGCUUGCACUAUCACUUAGCGGCGGACGGGUGAGUAAUGCUUAGGAAUCUGCCUAUUAGUGGGGGACAACAUCUCGAAAGGGAUGCUAAUACCGCAUACGUCCUACGGGAGAAAGCAGGGGAUCACUUGUGACCUUGCGCUAAUAGAUGAGCCUAAGUCGGAUUAGCUAGUUGGUGGGGUAAAGGCCUACCAAGGCGACGAUCUGUAGCGGGUCUGAGGGGAUGAUCCGCCCCACUGGGACUGGGACACGGCCCAGACUCCUACGGGAGGCAGCAGUGGGGAAUAUUGGACAAUGGGGGGAACCCUGAUCCAGCCAUGCCGCGUGUGUGAAGAAGGCCUUAUGGUUGUAAAGCACUUUAAGCGAGGAGGAGGCUCUUUUGGUUAAUACCCAAGAUGAGUGGACGUUACUCGCAGAAUAAGCACCGGCUAACUCUGUGCCAGCAGCCGCGGUAA
rnacentral:rRNA from 1 species